UGCCCGCUAGACAUGUACACUUAACAAUCAUUCCAUACAACAAAUAUAGUAGACCUAUUGCAUAUGGUAUGAGAAAAACAGACCAAAACACAAAAAUUUAACUAUAACCACUGAACCAUGAAAAUGAGGUCAAGGUCAGAUGACACCUGCCAGUUGGACAUGUACACCUUACAGUCCUUCCAUACACCGAAUAUACUAGCCCUAUUGCUUAUAGUAUCUGAGAUAUGGACUUGACCA
rnacentral:lncRNA from 1 species